rnacentral:rRNA from 1 species
AUGCGUCUGGCGCGGUGCGCAUGGUCGGGCCGACGACUGCUCGCGCGGCGGCCUCGGACUUCUCCGAUGAUGCUGUGGUGGCGGGGGCGGCCGAAUUUGGUCGGUUUCGGCCAGAUCCACGAGCAACGCGGGGCGCGGAUGCUGAGGCGCGGGCGUGGGCGGACGCGCGGGAUGGCAAGGCCGGCGCGGGGGUCUGGUGCGCGGCGGGGAUACGCGGCAGCUGCGCUUGGUCGCGGGGCGGCACGUGUGGCCACGACGGGCGGCCAGGCGUUGCCGCGCAAGGCGCGGCGAGCGCGCGCAGGGCGCGUCGCAGGCGCGGAUGGGAGGCCACGACGGGGGCUCGUGUGCAGGAAGGUCGCGGCCUGGGCGAGUGUGCGCACGGUGUUGGGCGGCGUGCUUCUGCAGCUUUGCUGGGCGGACGGCGUGGAUUUGCGGCAAGGCAAGGAUGCCGGGGCGGCGGCCCCGGAGCAAUGGUUGCAUCGGCAUGGGCUGCGGCGGCGGCUGGGGACGGUGGAUUCGGAGCGUUGUCCGCGGAUCUGA